UAAAAUUAGGAACAAAGCCUCAUUUCCUGUCAGAGCUGCUUUCAGUUUGCUUUUGGAGCAGCCCUGGCACGGUCUGAGCCCUGCCUUGAACACACAAGCUCAGCAUUGUAAGGAAAAGUCAGAAUCCAAAAAAUUAACCCCUUCCUGGAUGGCCUCACCCUGCACAACAGCUCCAUCCCUGCUCCGGGCUGCCCAGAAGGUUUGGAGGUGACAGGGACAGCGAGGCAGCACAGCAGCUCUGAGGGAUUUGAGGUUCAUUUGAGCCCAAAAAGGGCACUGGGUGGGAUUUGAGGUCCCUUUCAGCCC